GACGAACGCUGGCGGCGUGCCUAAUACAUGCAAGUCGAACGCUUCUUUCCUCCCGAGUGCUUGCACUCAAUUGGAAAGAGGAGUGGCGGACGGGUGAGUAACACGUGGAUAACCUACCCAUCAGAGGGGGAUAACACUUGGAAACAGGUGCUAAUACCGCAUAACAGUUUAUGCCGCAUGGCAUAAGAGUGAAAGGCGCUUUCGGGUGUCGCUGAUGGAUGGACCCGCGGUGCAUUAGCUAGUUGGUGAGGUAACGGCUCACCAAGGCCACGAUGCAUAGCCGACCUGAGAGGGUGAUCGGCCACACUGGGACUGAGACACGGCCCAGACUCCUACGGGAGGCAGCAGUAGGGAAUCUUCGGCAAUGGACGAAAGUCUGACCGAGCAACGCCGCGUGAGUGAAGAAGGUUUUCGGAUCGUAAAACUCUGUUGUUAGAGAAGAACAAGGACGUUAGUAACUGAACGUCCCCUGACGGUAUCUAACCAGAAAGCCACGGCUAACUACGUG
rnacentral:rRNA from 1 species